rnacentral:lncRNA from 1 species
AUUUUUUUUAAAAAAAAUUAGAAUAAAAAUAAAAAAAUAAAAUAUCUUAAAGUCAACUUUAUUUAAUUAUUUAUUUUUGAACUAAAAAUUAUUUUAAAAAAAUAAUAAUAAUCAAAAUAAAUUUUAAAUAUAAAUGUUUAAUAUCGAUAAACAAGUUAAAAAUUUAGGGAGAAUCAAAAAUCACGUGUCUACAUUGUUCUUCGUAAUCCUACAAUACGCAAUAUUGCAGUCUGGAACAAAUUUGUCAUCUUUUGUUGGUUAACCAUAAUAACAUUUCAAAAACAUUAGACACUACACAAGGAAACAUUUUAGUGAGACUAUACAAAGCCUCCUUGUUUUUUUGAUAAUUUAGGACCAGGACAAGUCAUUGGCAACUUAGCUAAGAACAAAGUUGGUCACGGAGAACUUUUGAACUGACAAAAUUUCAUUUGGAGCAUGCUACUACAAAAGAAUGGUAUCUAGACCCAUAAACAAGAACAAUACUAAAAUCAAAUGAAUCGUUACUCUUAUCACUAACAGGCAAGAUGAAACCCCAAUAAAAAAUUACCAUGUCAUCAUCAUAGAGUUGCAGUCAUUAUAAACUAAUCACUGGAAGACUAAAAUAUAAUCAUCUCUUUCUUAUUUAAAUCUAGUGGAUCAGGGGGUAUAUAAUUGAAUCAAGAAGCGCAUGAUCAAAAGAACCUACUAACAACUUCACUGCACAGGAUGAGUUGCAGUGGCUGAAAAACAGGGUUAUCAAAUAAACCUAAGUACUUGAGCUAAUAAAGCUAAUAAAUAGAGAUGCUUGUUAAGCACAAACAUCUUUUAAAAACUCGCUAUAGCUCAAGCUCUUAAGUAUCAAAAAUUAUAUCUUAGACAGCUCUAUGAGCACCAAGUAAUUGACUGAUAUCUUUAUAAGCAACUGCUCCCAAAAAAUUGUUCAUAAUCAGCAAAGAAAAAAAUUCGAUCAUUAUACAAUCUAGUCACUGAAAUUUCCAUCACUAGGGUCAUUUGGGGCUUAAUAUGCUCUUCCUCAAAAGAAUGUGAAACCUUCCUUUAAAAAACUGGACAUUGAGGUCGCCAAAUCCAAACACAGGCCAUCACUCCAGCUAAUUUUUUUUUUCUUUUCAAAAAUAGGUAACUUACAAAAUUUAAACUUGAAACAUCUAAAUUAAGAAUUUGAUAGACUAUUCUGUAGGAAAAAACAAAUAAAGAACCACAUGUCAGAAUAAAAGGAUCAAUUUAUCGUCUAAGUAGAGAACUGCUAAGCCUAAGUCUCCAUCAAGUUGGGUUCCUCAGUUCUUCAUUUAAAUUUAUUUCAUAUCAUCAUCAUACUAAAUAAAAUUCAAUAAUAUACCCAGUGAAAUUCCACAAGUGAGGAACAAGAAAUGAAUAUAAAAUUGAAAGUAGUGCGUUUUACCAACAUAUCUAGGCUUAAUGUUUAUGAACAAGAAAUAAUCUACGAUUAGACUUAAAAAUCCAACUCCAAAACCAAUAAUCACAAGAAGUCCCAUUUUCUUUAAUCAUUCACAAAACUCGGCCAAUCCUAUGUGUAUAUCAAGGAUAAAGGAACAAUAGAACCCAAAAUUCAUUUUCUGAUACGAUGUGUUAGAAAGGAUUUGGAAAUAAAAAAAUUACCUAGCCGGAUUUGAGGGCCCUGCCAGUGGAGGUGCUAUCGAAGCCGGAUUGUGCUGGUAGAGGUGCUGCAAAGGCUUGUUGCCGGUGGUUUUGUUUUUCAUUUUCUCAGAAUAUUGUGCCUUCUUUGUCUUCUUGAGAGAAUAUUCCUCAGUUAAGAAUACAAGAAGUUCUCAAGCGAAACCACCAAAAAGAAAUAAUGAAAACAUCACAGAUAGAGAAUGAGUGUCCUUGUGUUGUUAUCAAGAGUAGUAGUAAAAAUCAACAAAAGCAUUGAUCUUUAUCAUUAGAAUAACAAUCAAGUAAUCUGAUACAACUUUCUAUACACCUAAGUUGAAGAAUGCCUCUCACCUCCAUCUUUUUGAACUCAACCUCCAAGUUUGCUUUCUUGCUGUUCGCACCAAUUGCAGAUACCUUCUUCUGGGCCCUAUCAACUGAUUUAAGUUAUCAUAAUCAGUAAUACAUAAACCCACAAAAACUAAGGCAACAUAUCCCGAUUGCAGGAGGUUGUAAGUGAAGAAAAUGAAUACAUUGUCACAGCGAUCCGAAUUCGUAAUCAACAAGUGAUAAAUACUGUCAUUUAGUAAUUUAUGUAUGAAGAAACCUCUAGUUACUCUCUCAAAUUCAGGGCAAAAGGAAAUGACAAAAUGUGCAAAUGACAUAAUCAAGUGAAGCAACUGGAUAAACUAUUAAUUUCCUAAGACAAUUCUCUAUAAAGAGUAAUCAAUUCUUCUGUAAUCAACAAGGCUAGGGUUUUGAGAAAAGGUGAUCAGCGGCAGAUUAAAAAUAUGGGAGUUAAGUGGCAUAAUUUUAUUUUUUUAAAAAGACCUUGUAAGAUUAUUUUAAA